UUUGGGGGAGAAAAGAAACUAACUAGGAUUUCCUUAGUAGCGGCGAGCGAACAGGAAAUAGCCCAGCACUGAAUCCCGUCGUUGUCACGGCGGCGGGAGAUGUGGUGUUCGGGAGGUUCCGCUUUCUCGUCGUUGUCUUCUCCUGUCCAAGUUCGUCUUGAACGGGGCCGUUUACCCACAGAGGGUGCCAGGCCCGUAGCGACGGAGGACGGCGGCGAGAGGGACUCUCCUCAGAGUCGGGUUGCUUGAGAGUGCAGCCCUAAGUGGGUGGUAAACUCCAUCUAAGGCUAAAUAUUACCGCGAGACCGAUAGCGAACAAUUACCGUAAGGGAAUUUGGGG
rnacentral:rRNA from 1 species